UUUGAUUCCCUGUUGGAAGUUGUGUUCCAUUCUACUAGAGCAGAGCUGCAAGAAACAGGAGUGUGGAGGAGACACACACACAGAAGAGACAAAGGGACAAACAAAGACAAAACAGCAGAGACAAAAACAAACGACACGAGAAAGAACAUCUGAUCUCCUCCUUCUGUCCAAGAACCAAUGAGAACAUGUUUGAAGUCAACUGUGUCCCAAGAACAUUUAUAUUCAUAAAGUAUUAGGCCCAUUCUUUAAAUGGAUAAAUAAACUGUUUUUCAUGAAAUGAAACUGUCCAGGUUUAAAAGACGAGUAAAACAACACCAUCCUACAGCAGAAAUACAGUAACUGUUUUUGUUUUCAUGAUUUUAUUUUUUUCUUUACAGAUUGAUUGUUGAGAUUGGGAGUGAAAGGAUGUAUCUGAACUUGUCACUUCUGUUCUGAGUUCUUCUCUAAUGAGCUCUUGUCUCCUCCUCCAGACUGAGCAGCUGUAACCUGUCAGAGAGAAGCUGUGAAGCUCUGUCCUCAGUCCUCAGCUCCCAGUCCUCUAGUCUGACAGUCCUGGACCUCAGUCUCAACCACCUGAAGGACUCAGGGCUGAAGAAGUUGUGUGUUGGACUGAAGAGUCGUCACUGUAAACUGGAACAGCUCAGACUGUCAGGUUGUCUGCUCUCAGAGGAAGGCUGUGCUUCUCUGGCCUCAGCUCUGAGGUCCAACCAACCUCCCAUCUGAUAGAACUGGACCUGAGCUACAACCAUCCAGGAAACACAGGAGUAAAGCUCCUGUGUGCUCUACAGGAGGACCCCCACUGCACACUGGACACUCUCAGACUGACACCUGCUGGAGAACGAUGGAUGAAUCCAGUCCGGAGA